rnacentral:rRNA from 1 species
GAUGAACGCUGGCGGCGUGCUUAACACAUGCAAGUCGAACGGAAAGGCCGAAGCUUGCUUCGGUACUCGAGUGGCGAACGGGUGAGUAACACGUGGGUGAUCUGCUCUGUACUUCGGGAUAAGCUUGGGAAACGGGGUCUAAUACCGGAUAUGACAAUCUCUUGGAUGGGGUUGUGGAAAGCUUUGGCGGUGUGGCAUGAGCUCGCGGCCUAUCGGCUUGUUGGUGGGGUAAUGGCCUACCAAGGCGUCGACGGGUAGCCGGCCAGUGGGAGUGUAAGGCCGCAUUGGCACUGAGGUACGGCCGAGGUUGGUACUGUUGGCAGAAGUGGGGAAUAUUGCACAAGGGACGCAGGCCUGAUGCAGCAGGGCUGCGUGGGGGAUGACGCCCUUCGGGUUGUAGACACCUUUCGCAACCGACGAAGCUUUUUGUGACGGUAGCUUGAGAAGAAGCACCGGCUAACUACGUG